GAUCAAAGAUUCGUCGAUCCGCUCAUUCUGCCGGUUGUUAUGCUAUUAUCAGAUUAAGCAUCACAACCUCCUAGAAAGAGUAGAUCGAUUUUAAAACUU
ensembl:miRNA mir-67 miscRNA